rnacentral:tRNA from 1 species
AGGUUUUAAUUUUUAGACUGCAAAUCUAAUUAAGCAAAUUUAUGCAAAAACCUA